rnacentral:tRNA from 1 species
CGGACGUCGGCCAGUGCGGGUCGCGGCCAUACGUGAAGAGCGUGCCGAGCGACGACAGCAUGGCCCGGCGUUCGGUCCGCCGACGGCCGG